AGUGAACGCUGGCGGUAGGCCUAACACAUGCAAGUCGAACGGCAGCACAGUAAGAGCUUGCUCUUACGGGUGGCGAGUGGCGGACGGGUGAGGAAUACAUCGGAAUCUACUUUUUCGUGGGGGAUAACGUAGGGAAACUUACGCUAAUACCGCAUACGACCUACGGGUGAAAGCAGGGGAUCUUCGGACCUUGCGCGAUUGAAUGAGCCGAUGUCGGAUUAGCUAGUUGGCGGGGUAAAGGCCCACCAAGGCGACGAUCCGUAGCUGGUCUGAGAGGAUGAGCAGCCACACUGGAACUGAGACACGGUCCAGACUCCUACGGGAGGCAGCAGUGGGGAAUAUUGGACAAUGGGCGCAAGCCUGAUCCAGCCAUACCGCGUGGGUGAAGAAGGCCCUCGGGUUGUAAAGCCCUUUUGUUGGGAAAGAAAAGCAGCAGGUUAAUACCCCGCUGUUCUGACGGUACCCAAAGAAUAAGCACCGGCUAACUUCGUG
rnacentral:rRNA from 1 species